AUGGCGAAGAAGGCCGCAAAGCGAGCUGUUGGUGAAGCAAGGGGUCGGGCAUAUGAGCACCUCUACCAACGGUUAGGCACGAAGGAAGGUGAAAGGGACAUCUAUAAGAUGGCUAAGAUCCGGGAGAGGAAGAUGAGGGAUAUUGGCCAAGUCAAAUGCAUCAAGGACGGAGCAGGCCAACUCUUGGUGAAGGACGAAGAGAUUAAGCAUAGAUGGCGGGAGUACUUCGACAAGCUGUUCAAUGGGGAGAAUGAGAGUUCUACCAUUGAACUGAAUGACUCCUUUCAUGAGACCAGCAUGCGUUUUGUGCGGCGCAUCCAGGAGUCUGAGGUGAAGGAGGCUUUAAAAAGGAUGAAAGGAGGCAAGGCGAUGGGCCCUGAUUGUAUCCCCAUUGAGGUGUGGAAAGGUCUCGGGGACAUAGCGAUAGUAUGGCUAACCAAGCUUUUCAACCUCAUUUUUCGGGCAAACAAGAUGCCAGAAGAAUGGAGAUGGAGUAUAUUAGUACCAAUCUUCAAGAACAAGGGGGAUGUUCAGAGUUGUACUAAUUACCGUGGAAUUAAGCUGAUGAGCCAUACAAUGAAGCUAUGGGAGAGAGUCAUUGAGCACCGCUUAAGAAGAAUGACAAGCGUGACCAAAAAUCAGUUUGGUUUCAUGCCUGGGAGGUCGACCAUGGAAGCCAUUUUCUUGGUACGACAACUUAUGGAGAGAUAUAGGGAGCAUAAGAAGGACUUGCAUAUGGUGUUCAUUGACUUGGAGAAGGCCUAUGAUAAGAUACCGUGGAAUGUCAUGUGGUGGGCCUUGGAGAAACACAAAGUCCCAGCAAAGUACAUUACCCUCAUCAAGGACAUGUACAAUAAUGUUGUGACAAGUGUUCGAACAAGUGAUGUCGACACCGAUGACUUCCCGAUUAAGAUAGGACUGCAUCAGGGGUCAGCUUUGAGCCCUUAUCUUUUUGCAUUGGUGAUGGAUGAGGUCACAAGGGGUAUACAAGGAGAUAUCCCAUGGUGUAUGCUCUUUGCGGAUGAUGUGGUGCUAGUUGACGAUAGUCGGACGGGGGUAAAUAGGAAGUUAGAGUUAUGGAGACAAACCUUGGAAUCGAAAGGGUUUAGGCUUAGUAGAACUAAAACCGAGUACAUGAUGUGUGGUUUCAGUACUACUAGCUAUGAGGAGGAGGAGGUUAGCCUUGAUGGCCAGGUGGUACCUCGGAAGGACACCUUUCGGUAUUUGGGGUCAAUGUUGCAGGAGGAUGGGGGUAUUGAUGAAGAUGUGAACCAUCGAAUCAAAGCCGGAUGGAUGAAGUGGCGCCAAGCUUCUGGCAUUCUCUGUGACAAGAGAGUGCCACAAAAGCUAAAAGGCAAGUUCUACAGGACGGCGGUUCGACCCGCAAUGUUGUAUGGCGCGGAGUGUUGGCCGACUAAAAGGCGACAUGUUCAACAGUUAGGUGUGGCGGAGAUGCGUAUGUUGAGAUGGAUGUGUGGCCACACGAGGAAGGAUCGAGUCCGGAAUGAUGAUAUACGAGAUAGAGUUGGGGUAGCACCAAUUGAGGAGAAGUUUGUCCAACAUCGUUUGAGAUGGUUUGGGCAUAUUCAGCGCAGGCCUCCAGAAGCUCCAGUGCAUAGCGGACGGCUAAAGCGUGCGGAGAAUGUCAAGAGAGGGCGGGGUCGACCGAUUUUGACAUGGGAGGAGUCCGUUAAGAGAGACCUGAAGGAUUGGAGUAUCGACAAAGAGCUAGCUAUGGACAGGGGUGCGUGGAAGCUUGCUAUCCAUGUGCCAGAGCCAUGA
rnacentral:rRNA from 1 species